GGGAAAGUUCUCUGGGUGCCACUCCCUGCAACUUUCAAAGGUGGGGUCAGGAAGGGAUCCCCCCACCCCCGCACCUCGCCUUAUUUGGGACCUGCUUCCUGACAUCGGUGUGAGUGGGCUUGUGCACCAGCGGUUACUCACCGGGUAUUGCCUGGGCCUAGGUCAAAGAGAAAUUUCCCCUAAAUGAAAAUGCUCCUGAAAUUAACCAAAGGUUCAACAUCUUUGUCGUGGAAAAUGCAGUCAUUUCAAGCUACUGAAAGGUUGCCAGGAUUGAAGGGGCCAGAGCAUUUCUCAAGCUUGGUUUAUGGAACCAGAAACAUGCAAGUCAGGAGAAGAGACCAAGUGCCAUCAGCUGAGUGCUGUCAAGGAGGAAGGAACAUUCCCAGAACACUGUAGAAGAAAUACUUCCCAAUAACCAUCAUGCGCCAGAUGUGACAUGAUCCUUGAGUGGAUUCACUCUUCAUUUGACACAAUAAAACCUGUGUAUAUCA